UGGGGAAUAUUGCACAAUGGGCGCAAGCCUGAUGCAGCCAUGCCGCGUGUGUGAAGAAGGCCUUCGGGUUGUAAAGCACUUUCAGCGAGGAGGAAGGCGUUAAGGUUAGUAACCUUAGCGAUUGACGUUACUCGCAGAAGAAGCACCGGCUAACUCCGUGCCAGCAGCCGCGGUAAUACGGAGGGUGCAAGCGUUAAUCGGAAUUACUGGGCGUAAAGCGCACGCAGGCGGUUUGUUAAGUCAGAUGUGAAAUCCCCGAGCUUAACUUGGGAACUGCAUUUGAAACUGGCAAGCUAGAGUCUUGUAGAGGGGGGUAGAAUUCCAGGUGUAGCGGUGAAAUGCGUAGAGAUCUGGAGGAAUACCGGUGGCGAAGGCGGCCCCCUGGACAAAAGACUGACGCUCAGG
rnacentral:rRNA from 1 species